UCAAAGUAGGUUAUCGGAUACUGGGCGUAAAGCGUGCGCAGGCGGUUGUGCAAGACAGAUGUGAAAUCCCCGGGCUCAACCUGGGAAUUGCAUUUGUGACUGCACGGCUAGAGUGUGUCAGAGGGGGGUAGAAUUCCACGUGUAGCAGUGAAAUGCGUAGAGAUGUGGAGGAAUACCGAUGGCGAAGGCAGCCCCCUGGGAUAACACUGACGCUCAUGCACGAAAGCGUGGGGAGCAAACAGGAUUAGAUACCCUGGUAGUCCACGCCCUAAACGAUGUCAACUAGUUGUCGGGUCUUAAUUGACUUGGUAACGCAGCUAACGCGUGAAGUUGACCGCCUGGGGAGUACGGUCGCAAGAUUAAAACUCAAAGGAAUUGACGGGGACCCGCACAAGCGGUGGAUGAUGUGGAUUAAUUCGAUGCAACGCGAAAAACCUUACCUACCCUUGACAUGGCAGGAAUCCCGGAGAGAUUCGGGAGUGCUCGAAAGAGAACCUGCACACAGGUGCUGCAUGGCUGUCGCCAGCUCGUGUCGUGAGAUGUUGGGUUAAGUCCCGCAACGAGCGCAACCCUUGUCAUUAGUUGCUACGAAAGGGCACUCUAAUGAGACUGCCGGUGACAAACCGGAGGAAGGUGGGGAUGAUGUCAAGUCCUCAUGGCCCUUAUGGGUAGGGCUUCACACGUCAUACAAUGGUACAUACAGAGGGCCGCCAACCCGCGAGGGGGAGCUAAUCCCAGAAAGUGUAUCGUAGUCCGGAUUGGAGUCUGCAACUCGACUCCAUGAAGUUGGAAUCGCUAGUAAUCGCGGAUCAGCAUGUCGCGGUGAAUACGUUCCCGGGUCUUGUACACACCGCCCGUCACACCAUGGGAGCGGGUUUUACCAGAAGUACGUAGCUUAACCGCAAGGAGGGCGCUUACCACGGUAGGAUUCGUGACUGGGGUG
rnacentral:rRNA from 1 species